GACGAACGCUGGCGGCGUGCUUAACACAUGCAAGUCGAACGGAAAGGCCCUUCGGGGUACUCGAGUGGCGAACGGGUGAGUAACACGUGGGUGAUCUGCCCUGCACUUUGGGAUAAGCCUGGGAAACUGGGUCUAAUACCGAAUAUGAUCAUCGGCUUCAUGGUCGGUGGUGGAAAGCUUUUGCGGUGUGGGAUGGGCCCGCGGCCUAUCAGCUUGUUGGUGGGGUAAUGGCCUACCAAGGCGACGACGGGUAGCCGGCCUGAGAGGGUGACCGGCCCCACUGGGACUGAGAUACGGCCCAGACUCCUACGGGAGGCAGCAGUGGGGAAUAUUUCACAAUGGGCGCAAGCCUGAUGCAGCCCCGCCGCGUGGGGGAUGACGGCCUUCGGUUUGUAAACCUCUUUCAGCACAGACGAAGCGCAAGUGACGGUAUGUGCAGAAGAAGGACCGGCCAACUACGUG
rnacentral:rRNA from 1 species